CUCUCAAAAUUAGAAACCUACAUCUUUCAAAUAUUCUCUCUCUAGAAACCUCCAUUAAAGGUGAAGGAUUCAAGAUUCCUAUCUCAAGAUUUCAUAUUUUUCAAGCAAUUUUCGUGGAUUUCAUCCCUAAAAGGUCUGGAAUUUGAGUUUAUUCUCUCUAGAUGAAGCUUGGAUUGAGUUCUUCCAAGACUAUUGGAUAUGACUACAAGAAGGGUUUAUGCAAGUAGGAUGGAAGAGGAGAUUGUGAAUGAGGGAGUUCCUCCCCAAGGUCCUUAAGGUGACCAAGCUCCUCGAGGCAAUCAAGUUCUGGUGGAUUCCUUACCAUGUCCAAUGAAGAAAUUAGGUCGGCUGCUCUAACCUUUGCCCAAGUUAAAAGAAAUGAGGGGCCUCGAGUGAAUACUAAUGAGAGUACUAUGGCUUCGAGAUUAAGGGAUUUUUCUAGGAUGACCCCGCCUCCUGCGAGUGUUUAGGUUUGAAAGGUUUGUAGAUGAGGUCUGUAAGAUAAUUAGUGUCAUAUGGGUGUCUUUGGAGGAGAAGGUGGAGCUACCCGCCUACCAACUAAAAGAUGUAGCUCAAAUUUGGGAUGAACAAUGGAAGGGUGAAGGGCCAAAAGUAUCGGGUCCCAUAAAUUGGGAGGUAUUCGAAGAGGCUUUCCUUGAUAGGUUUUCCCCUUAAAGUUGAGGGAACGACAAUUGGUAGAGUUCAUAAACCUUCGUCAAGGGGGUAUGAGUGUUAAGUAUUAUUCUCUCAAGUUCAACCAACUAUCCAAGUAUGUUCCAACCUUGGUGGCAAGUUAAAGGUCUAAAACGAAUAAGUUUAUGAUGGGAGCAUCCGGUUUGGUGGAAGUAGAAUGUCGUAUGACAAUGAUCCAUCAUGACAUGGAUAUUUCAGGCUCAUGGUAUAUGAUCAACAAAUUGAUUAGAUGAAACUUGAUUUAUUAAAUAAGGAGGCAAAAAGAGUUAGGCUCGUGAACAAAGUCAACCAAGGUCCAAAAAUAGGUUCUACAACCAUGAUUCACCAAUGGUCAAAAAGGAUAGGGGUUCUACUUUUGAAAGAUUUGUAUGUGCCAUGUAAGGGAAGUAAUAUUUGGGAAGUGCCUAGAUAAUACGGAUGGUUUCUUAGGGUAUGGAAAGAAGGGUCAUAAGAUGAGAGAUUGUCUAACACUCAGGGACCAAGGAAGAGAGGCCAAAAAAGCUUCUCUAAAUGAUCUGGACUUUGAUGAUCCAAGGAAAAAUCAUUUCUAUGUACUUCAAGCUAAGGAGGGAAAAUGAGCUCUUCCAGAUGAAGGCACUAGUACGUGAUAGUUCCUUAUAGUUGUGAAGGUUUUUUAAAUGUCCUUAUGUUGUUUUCAUGUUUGCCUUGAUAUGGGUUUACUCCUAAGGGGGAGAUGGUAUGUUGAAUGGUAAGGUUGUUGAGAGCUCCGUAUCAUUAUCUCUUUCCUUUUAUUCCUAUUCAAGCUUGAGACCAACAGUUCCUUGUAGUUUGUUUCAUCUUUCGGAGCCAUGUGUGGUUAUGUGUUUCCAUGGAAUUUGUAUGUAUGCAAGUUCUUGACAAAUUUUUGUUUAAAUAAGAAAAUGAGUUUUAUGAAUUAUAUUCCUCAUGUUGAUAUACAUUUAGUAUGAGUUGUCUAUAUGCUUCAUGAGAUGAAUUGUUGAACAUUCCUAAAUGUGUUUUUGAGAAGAGUUGCAAAAGUUGCUUGAUGAUGCUAUGUUGAACAUGAAUUGAGUUGGAGAAGGUAAUUCCUCCAAUUAAAUGAGAAAUUUUGAGGUUUUCAUGCAUAAUGAGUUUGUAGAUAUAGUUCAUACUUUCUUGUGUUGCAUUGAGCAUGUUUGAGAUAGAUUUGAUGUUUCUUCGUAGUUUUGGGCAUUGUUUAUGAUGUUGCAUGCAUGAUGGUUUUCUAUUCUUGAGUUGUUAUCCAUUAUUGUGUUUCAAGUGUCAUUCAAGGACGAUUGUUCAUAAGGAGGAGAUAAUGUAACGACAUGUAAAACUAGAGCCUAACAAGUUUGGUUCCGAGUUUUUGUGGGUUUGAGGUUGUAAAGUGAUGUCCCGAGCUUCAGUUGAGGAGUUUAGGGGUUAAACAUCAAGGUACGACCCCCCAAGACCAACCAAGGGUCCUUGAGGGUGACCCUAAAGUCUAACCCCCAAUGCUGUCUAGAACCAAAAAGCUGUUAAAAAAUAUCAUGACCUACGGAUGGGACCUACGCCCCGUAAUCCCAUCCACACCCCGUGGGGUUGGUCUGUAGGUCAAGGGACCAAAUGGUGAAUUCCAUCCCCAAACCACGGACCUGCAGGAUAGGGUGUCACCCCCACCUACGGUUCGUAGGUCAUUGGGCAAAAGUCAAUCCUAUAAUUUUCCCCAUUUCAGCCAAGGGUAGGGGUGGUUUGGUAAAUUCCUAAUUAUUUGUUUAGGUGUUUGUGACGGAUAUUAUUGAGUUAUUAAUAUAUUUUAAGGGUUCUUGAUGUACUAAACUCCUUUUUCAACUCAUUAUUUCCCAACUUUUAAUAGUAGAAGCCCACCUCCCUCAAAUAUUCUCUCUCUAGAAACCUCCAAUUGAGGUGAAUGAUUCAAGCUUCCAAGCUCAAGAUUUCAUCUUUUCAAGCAAUUUUCGUGGACUU